GAUGAACGCUGGCGGCGUGCCUAACACAUGCAAGUCGAGCGGAGAGGCAGCGGAGAUUCAAUCGAUGAUCUGCUUCUUCUUAGCGGCGGAUAGGUGAGUAACACGUGGGUAACCUGCCCUGCACUGGGGGAUAACAGUUGGAAACGACUGUUAAUACCGCAUAUGCGCACGGGACCGCAUGGUCCUGGGCGGAAAGAUUUAUCGGUGCAGGAUGGGCCCGCGUCGGAUUAACUGGUUGGUGAGGUAAUGGCCCACCAAGGUGAUGAUCCGUAGCCGACCUGAGAGGGUGACCGGCCACAUUGGGACUGAGACACGGCCCAAACUCC
rnacentral:rRNA from 1 species